rnacentral:rRNA from 1 species
ACACGUAAGUGGCAAGCGUUGUUCGGAAUUAUUGGGCGUAAAGGGCGCGUAGGCGGCGAGGCAAGCCUGGUGUGAAAGAUCCCAGCUCAACUGGGAGAGCGCGCUGGGAACUGCCUUGCUAGAGUUUAGGAGGGGGAGCUGGAAUUCCUGGUGUAGGGGUGAAAUCUGUAGAUAUCAGGAAGAACACCGGUGGCGAAGGCGAGCUCCUGGCCAUAGACUGACGCUGAGGCGCGAAAGCGUGGGGAGCGAACAGGAUUAGAUACCCUGGUAGUCCACGCUGUAAACGAUGUGCACUAGGUGUAGGUCGGUAUGACGAUCUGUGCCGUAGCGAACGCGUUAAGUGCACCGCCUGGGGAGUAUGCUCGCAAGGGUGAA